AUUGAACGCUAGCGGCAGGCCUAACACAUGCAAGUCGAACGGAGCGGCGGACGGGUGAGUAAUGCAUAGGAAUCUGCCUAGUAGUGGGGGAUACCUUCCGGAAAGGGUAGCUAAUAUCGCAUACUAUCAGAUGAGCCUAGGUGGGAUUAGCUAGUUGGUGGGGUAACGGCCUACCAAGGCGACGAUCCGUAACUGGUCUGAGAGGAUGAUCAGUAACACGGGAACUGAGACACGGUCCAGACUCCUACGGGAGGCAGCAGUGGGGAAUAUUGGACAAUGGGCGAAAGCCUGAUCCAGCCAUUCCGCGUGUGUGAAGAAGGUCUUCGGAUUGUAAAGCACUUUAAGUAGGGAGGCGUUACCUACAGAAUAAGCACCGGCUAACUUCGUGCCAGCAGCCGCGGUAAUAC
rnacentral:rRNA from 1 species